AUGAAUUUAUUAGAUUAAAAACCAAAGCGGGGCUCGCGCCCCGGAAACCUUGGUGAAUCAUAGUAACUAGUCGAAUCGCACGCCUUCGGGUCGGCGAUGAUACAUACAAGUUUCUGCCCUAUCAACUUUCGAUGGUAGGGUAUUGGCCUACCAUGGUUGUAACGGGUGACAGGGAAUUAGGGUUCGAUUCUGGAGAGGCAGCCUGAGAAACGGCUACCACUUCCAAGGAAGGCAGCAGGCGCGCAACUUACCCAAUCUCGAUACGAGGAGGUAGUGACAAGAAAUACCAGUAUAGGACCCUUUAGGGUACUAUAAUUGGAAUGAGUACAAUUUAUCACCCUUAACGAGGAACAAUUGGAGGGCAAGUCUGGUGCCAGCAGCCGCGGUAAUUCCAGCUCCAAUAGCGUAUAUUAAAGUUGUUGCAGUUAAAAAGCUCGUAGUUGGAUUUCGGAGUGCUCAGUCGGCUCGGUCCGGCGCAAUGCCGUGCUACCGGUCGCUGGCCUCCUCCUUUCAAAUGUUCGCCUACUUCCCUCGGGUUGAAGGUGGGACUUUGGAUCGUUUACUUUGAAAAAAUUUGAGUGUUUAAAGCAGGCGUAAUUCUGCCGCUGUAAACUCUAGCAUGGGAUAAUGGAAUAGGAUUGCGGUGCCUAUUUUGUUGGUUUCUAGUGUCUGCAAUAAUGAUUAAAAGGGAUAGUUGGGGGUAUUAGUAUUUAGUUGUCAGAGGUGAAAUUCUAAGAUUUACUAAAGACUAACUACUGCGAAAGCAUUUACCAAGGAUGUUUUCAUUAAUCAAGAACGAAAGUUGGGGGAUCGAAGAUGAUCAGAUACCGUCGUAGUCCUAACCUUAAACUAUGCCGACCAGGGAUUCGGAGAAGUUUAAUGGAUGACUCUCCGGGAACCUUGUGAGAAAUCACAAGUAUUUGGGUUCUGGGGGGAGUAUGGUCACAAGGCUGAAACUUAAAGGAAUUGACGGAGGGGCACCACCAGGCGUGGAACCUGCGGCUUAAUUUGACCCAACACGGGAAAACUCACCAGGUCCAGACACAGGAAGGAUUGACAGAUUGAUAGCUCUUUCAUGAUUCUGUGGGUGGUGGUGCAUGGCCGUUUCCAGUUGGUGGAGUGAUUUGUCAGGUUAAUUCCGAUAACGAACGAGACCUUAACCUAUUAAAUAGUGUUGCGAAAGUCUUUAGCCUUCGGGUUUGGACUUCGUAACAUCUUCUUAGAGGGACUAUUCGAACAUAGCGAAUGGAAGUUUGAGGCCAAAACAGGUCUGUGAUGCCCUUAGAUGUCCUGGGCUGCACGCGCGUUACACUGAUGCGUUCAACGAGUUUUUAUCCUUGCCCGAAAGGGUUGGGUAAUCUUUUGAAAGCGCAUCGUGCUGGGGAUUGACGAUUGUAAUUAUUCGUCAUGAACGAGGAAUGCCUAGUAAUCGCAAGUCAUCAACUUGCGCUGAUUACGUCCCUGCCCCUUGUACACACCGCCCGUCGCUCCUACCGAUUGAAUGGUCCGGCAAGAA
rnacentral:rRNA from 1 species